UUUUAAACUGAGCUUUGAAGGCUCUGACGAA
rnacentral:piRNA from 1 species